GACGAACGCUGGCGGCGUGCCUAAUACAUGCAAGUCGAACGCAGUGGCGACGGGUGAGUAACACGUGGGUAACCUACCAUCAGAGGUGAUAACACUUUGAACCAGGUCCUAAACAGAUACUGAUGGAUGGACCCGCGGUGCAUUAGCUAGUUGGUGAGGUAACGGCUCAACAAGGCGACGAUGCAUAUCCGACGUGAGAUGGUGAUCGGCCAUACUGAGAGUGAGACACGGCCCAGACUCCUAGGGGAGGCAGCAGUAGGGAAUAUUCUGCAAUGGAGGAAAGUCUGACCGAGCAGAGCCGCGUGAUUGAAGAAGGUUUUCGGAUCGUAAAACUCUGGUGUUAGAGAAUCGGUAUCUAACCAGAAAGCCAUGUCUUAUUUCGUGCCAGCAGCCGCGGUAAUAC
rnacentral:rRNA from 1 species